ACCCGCUGAAUUUAAGCAUAUCAAUAAGCGGAGGAAAAGAAACCAACAGGGAUUGCCUUAGUAACGGCGAGUGAAGCGGCAAAAGCUCAAAUUUGAAAUCGGCCACCAGGUCGAGUUGUAAUUUGUAGAUUGUAUCUUGAGAGCGGAUUAAAGUCUGUUGGAACACAGCGCCUUAGAGGGUGACAGCCCCGUAAAAUCUAUUCUCAUUGUAAGAUACUUUCGAAGAGUCGAGUUGUUUGGGAAUGCAGCUCUAAGUGGGAGGUAAAUUCCUUCUAAAGCUAAAUAUUGACGAGAGACCGAUAGCGAACAAGUACUGUGAAGGGAAGAUGAAAAGCACUUUGAAAAGAGAGUGAAAAAGUACGUGAAAUUGUUAAAAGGGAAGGGUAUUGAAUCAGACUUGGUGCUGUUGUUCAACUGUGUUUCGGCACAGUGUACUCAGCAGUACUAGGCCAAGGUGGGGUGUUUGGGAGUGAAAAAGAAGUUGGAACGUAACUCUUCGGAGUGUUAUAGCCUACUUUCAUAGCUCCUCAGGCGCCUCAGGACUGCGCUUCGGCAAGGACCUUGGCAUAAUGAUUCUAUACCGCCCGUCUUGAAACACGGCCAAGGAG
rnacentral:rRNA from 1 species